ACUUCUAAGUGAUCACUCAGGAAACCAACAUCCUUCCAUAUUGUGAGUCUACUAUACUUGAAGUCCUCUCAUUAAUCACUAGAUAAGGAGAAAAAAAAAUGGAGGAAUUCUCAGUGCACGUAUUUUUAUGAAGCAAGUAUGGAAGGGAGCAUGUUUGCUUCUGCUCACACUCCACAUGCCAUGAGCUACAACCCAGCCAUAUGGACACACUGAACUAAUGGAACAGCUGGGAAAUAAAGUACAGCUGUCAAAAUGUAUUCACUUUACUCAAUACUAGAAAAACAAUCUGAUUAAAAAAUGAGCAGAGGACUUAAAUGACAUUUUUCCAAAGAAAACUCACAGAUGGACAACAGGUACUUGGGUCUGAAUGGGCUCUCAGACUUAAUAUUUGUACUCAAUAUGGUCAGAACAGUCAUCUAGAAAACAAAGUUGAGAAUUCUGUGCUCAUAAAGAAACUACUGAAAUUUCAGGUCAUCCAUAAUCCAAGAUGUAAUAUUGGAAGAGAAAUCCACAAGUUGACUUUAAAGUCACUUGGAAUAAUUAACCUUCAGAAAAGUUUUUGACAUUGAUCCUAUAUGAUAGUUGCUACCUGCAGAGAAGUCAACAGGGCUUGCCACUAAGAAGCACCUACUCCAACACAGCAAAGUCCAAUGAUCUGUUCCCAUAAAUGCUUCACUGGGUUUGUGCUACCUUACAUAGCACUUUGAGGUGGCUGAA